GACGAACGCUGGCGGCGUGCUUAACACAUGCAAGUCGAACGGAAAGGCCCUGCUUUUGUGGGGUGCUCGAGUGGCGAACGGGUGAGUAACACGUGAGUAACCUGCCCUUGACUUUGGGAUAACUUCAGGAAACUGGGGCUAAUACCGGAUAGGAGCUCCUGCUGCAUGGUGGGGGUUGGAAAGUUUCGGCGGUUGGGGAUGGACUCGCGGCUUAUCAGCUUGUUGGUGGGGUAGUGGCUUACCAAGGCUUUGACGGGUAGCCGGCCUGAGAGGGUGACCGGCCACAUUGGGACUGAGAUACGGCCCAGACUCCUACGGGAGGCAGCAGUGGGGAAUAUUGCACAAUGGGCGGAAGCCUGAUGCAGCAACGCCGCGUGCGGGAUGACGGCCUUUGGGUUGUAAACCGCUUUCGCCUGUGGCGAAGCGUGAGUGACGGUAAUGGGUAAAGAAGCACCGGCUAACUACGUG
rnacentral:rRNA from 1 species